rnacentral:rRNA from 1 species
UACGUAGGUCCCGAGCGUUGUCCGGAUUUACUGGGCGUAAAGGGAGCGCAGGCGGCGCGCCAAGUCUGAUGUGAAACCCCGGGGCUCAACCCCGGGCAUGCAUUGGAAACUGGCGGGCUGGAGUGCCGGAGAGGUAAGCGGAAUUCCUAGUGUAGCGGUGAAAUGCGUAGAUAUUAGGAGGAACACCAGUGGCGAAGGCGGCUUACUGGACGGCAACUGACGCUGAGGCUCGAAAGCGUGGGGAGCAAACAGG